rnacentral:rRNA from 1 species
AAGACCUCGCGCUAUUAGAGCGGCCGAUGCCCGAUUAGCUAGUUGGUGAGGUAAUGGCCCACCAAGGCAACGAUCGGUAGCUGGUCUGAGAGGACGGCCAGCCACACUGGGACUGAGACACGGCCCAGACUCCUACGGGAGGCAGCAGUGGGGAAUUUUGGACAAUGGGCGCAAGCCUGAUCCAGCCAUGCCGCGUGAGUGAAGAAGGCCUUCGGGUUGUAAAGCUCUUUCAGCCGGGAAGAAAAGGUUGCGAUUAAUAAUCGCAAUUUAUGACGGUACCGGAAGAAGAAGCACCGGCUAACUACGUGCCAGCAGCCGCGGUAAUACGUAGGGUGCGAGCGUUAAUCGGAAUUACUGGGCGUAAAGGGUGCGCAGGCGGUUUUGUAAGUCAGAUGUGAAAUCCCCGGGCUUAACCUGGGAACU